ACCUGCCUUCCAGUGAGGAAUACCGGCGAGAAAUCGCCGACAAUGCCGCAUAGGCUUGGUGCUCUCAGCAGCAUUAAGCAAAGCCUCGCAAGGGGCGCUGGAAGAGGGGCCCGUGGCCGAUUAGCUGGUUGGUGAGGUAAGGGCUCACCAAGGCGACGAUCGGUCGCUGGUCUGAGAGGACGAUCAGCCACACUGGGAUUGAGAACGGCCCAG
rnacentral:rRNA from 1 species